GAUGAAGAACGUAGCGAAAUGCGAUAGGUAAUGUGAAUUGCAGAAUUCAGUGAAUCAUCGAAUCUUUGAACGCACAUUGCGCCCCCUGGUAUUCCGGGGGGCAUGCCUGUUCGAGCGUCAUUUCACCACUCAAGCCUCGCUUGGUAUUGGGCAUCGCGGUCCGCCGCGUGCCUCAAAUCGACCGGCUGGGUCUUCUGUCCCCUAAGCGUUGUGGAAACUAUUCGCUAAAGGGUGUUCGGGAGGCUACGCCGUAAAACAACCCCAUUUCUAAGGUUGACCUCGGAUCAGGUAGGGAUACCCGCUGAACUUAAGCAUAUCAAUAAGCGGAGGA
rnacentral:misc_RNA from 1 species